UACGUAGGGCGCAAGCGUUAUCCGGAAUUAUUGGGCGUAAAGAGCUCGUAGGCGGUUUGUCGCGUCUGCCGUGAAAGUCCGGGGCUCAACUCCGGAUCUGCGGUGGGUACGGGCAGACUAGAGUGAUGUAGGGGAGACUGGAAUUCCUGGUGUAGCGGUGAAAUGCGCAGAUAUCAGGAGGAACACCGAUGGCGAAGGCAGGUCUCUGGGCAUUAACUGACGCUGAGGAGCGAAAGCAUGGGGAGCGCACAGG
rnacentral:rRNA from 1 species